rnacentral:rRNA from 1 species
UUGGAGGGCAAGUCUGGUGCCAGCAGCCGCGGUAAUUCCAGCUCCAAUAGCGUAUAUUAAAGUUGUUGCAGUUAAAAAGCUCGUAGUUGAAUUUCGGAGUUUGUCGGUCGGUCGGGCUUCACUGUCCGCACUGGCCGGACGGAUUCCUACCUUCUGAAUAACCAGCAUGCUAUUAAGUUAGUGCGUUGGGGAAGCAGAGCUAUUACCUUGAAAAAAUUAGAGUGCUUAAAGCAGGCUUAUGCUUGAAUAGAUUAGCAUGGAAUAAUAAAAUAGGACGGCAUGGUUCUAUUUUGUUGGUUUCUAGGAUCACCGUAAUGAUUAACAGGGAUAGUUGGGGGCAUUAGUAUUCAAUUGUCAGAGGUGAAAUUCUUGGAUUUAUUGAAGACUAACUUCUGCGGAAGCAUCUGCCAAGGAUGUUUUCAUUAAUCAAGAACGAAAGUUAGGGGAUCGAAGACGAUCAGAUACCGUCGUAGUCUUAACCAUAAACUAUGCCGACUAGGGAUCGGACGAUGUUAAUUUUUUAAUGACUCGUUCGGCGCCUUACGGGAAAC